rnacentral:rRNA from 1 species
AUUGAACGCUGGCGGCAUGCUUUACACAUGCAAGUCGAACGGUAACAGGCCUUCGGGUGCUGACGAGUGGCGAACGGGUGAGUAAUGCAUCGGAACAUACCCAGUCGUGGGGGAUAACGUAGCGAAAGUUACGCUAAUACCGCAUACGUCCUGAGGGAGAAAGCGGGGGAUCGCAAGACCUCGCGCGAUUGGAGUGGCCGAUGUCAGAUUAGCUAGUUGGUGGGGUAAAGGCCCACCAAGGCGACGAUCUGUAGCGGGUCUGAGAGGAUGAUCCGCCACACUGGGACUGAGACACGGCCCAGACUCCUACGGGAGGCAGCAGUGGGGAAUUUUGGACAAUAGGGGAAACCCUGAUCCAGCCAUGCCGCGUGCGGGAAGAAGGCCUCGGUUGUAACGCGUUCUAGCCGGAAGAAAUACGACACGGACUAAUAACUCUGUGUGGAGUGACGGUACCGGAAGAAGAAGACACCGGC